UGCCCAGCCGGUUCCAGGUGCGAAGUCACCACAGAAGCCACGGUAGGAGUACAACAAAAAUAGAGCUUUAUUUCAGGACGAGUGCCACCAGAGCCAGGCCACGCUCCUAUGGCAGAGCACCUGCGGGUGUGCAGCCGUGGCCGGUGUGCACGCAGCUGGGCUGGCGCUCACGUGCUUUGCACGUGCUGUGCCACUGCCCUGUCAGAGGUCGGUGAGCCCUGGAGGAGCGUAACGCCCGCUGGGGACACCGGCACCGCGCCACCACGCAGCACCACGAGGGUCCGGCGCGCUCCGUCCCUCGUGCAGGGGGCACGAGGCGUGCGUGCACGUGCCCCAAGCGUGCACCGGGCUUACUCCACCCAGCAGAGCUCAGUAGUGAUGCACACACACGUGCACACACACACACACAUCUGCUGUGCACGGAGAGGUGCUUGCACACGGAGGCUGUGCACACACACACACGCACAAGGCUCUGCACACCGGCACACACACGCCUACAUGUGUGAGACCUGCUUGCACACACAGAGCCUUUGUGCACCAACACUCAUGUGCUCCCUGCACACACGCCAGAGAUCCACUCACUCUUGCAGAGCCUUUGCACACCUGCACGCACUUUCCCCACGCACACAGACACCCCCUUGCACACACAGACUCUGCGCACUGCGGCGCACACGUGCACACCCAGAGCUCUGCACACCAGCACUUCGGUCUGCACGUGACCGUGCGCGCCGGCAGAAAUGUGUGCGUGCAGAGCCGUGCACACCAGCACACGCGUGCACAAAGGGCCUGUGCACACCGGCACACACGUACACACACAGAGCUGUGCACACACACGUGCAUACAGUGCUCUGAGCAGCAGCAGGUGUAUGCGUGCCCAGUACCAUGCACACCAAUAGAUGUGCACACAGAGCCACACAUACAGCACGCACACACGUGCACCGUGCCACGCACACCAGCACAUACGUGUGCACGCAGGGCCGUGCCCACUGGCACACACGCACAGGGCUGUGCCCAGUGCUCUCCGCCGUCCCCGUGGCCACCCCAGCCCUAUUCGCUCCUGUGGGGGGCACGGCCCGGCCACGCUGCCCAGCGCCUCGCGACGAGCUGCGGCUGGUGGUACAUGAACAUCCCAGCCAGCGUCAGCCCGAUGCCCAGGUAGCUGAGCCCGCUCAGGUGGCUGCCGAAGAGCAGGCGGGAGAGCAGGAGGUUGCCCACCACGGUGAGGUUGCCCAGGAGGUGGAUGGUGAGGGCGGAGGUGAGGGAGAGGACGCAGAAGCUGGCCAGGUUGUAGAGGACGGAGCCAAGGCAGCUGAGCAGGACGCAGCCCCAGAGGGAGCCGUCGUAGCGCAGGACGCCUUCCCAGGCCGGGGCCACCUCCAGCGCCACGGCCGCCCCAAAAAGGAGCCAGAAGCUGGGCAGGGCGGUGAGGCAGAGGAGGGAGACAGCGUCCAGCCGGUCCUCCUGCAGCAGCAGGCCUGGGGACAGGGGGGGGGACAGUCAGCGGGAGCUCCCCACCCAGUGCUGAAAGAAAUCC
rnacentral:lncRNA from 1 species